rnacentral:rRNA from 1 species
GACGAACGCUGGCGGCGUGCUUAACACAUGCAAGUCGAACGGAAAGGCCCUGCUUUUGUGGGUUUCUCGAUUGGCGAACGGGUGAGUAACACGUGAGUAACCUGCCCUUGUCUUUGGGAUAACUUCAGGAAACUGGGGCUCAUACCGGAUAGGAGCUCCUGCUGCAUGUUGGUGGUUGGAAAGUUUCGGCGUUUGUGGAUGGACUCGCGGCUUAUCAGCUUGUUGGUGGGGUAGUGGCGUACAAAGGAUUUGACGGGUAGCCGGCCUGGGAGGGUGACCGGCCACAUUGGGACUGGGGUACGGCCCAGAGGCAUACGGGAGGCAGGAGUGGGGAAUAGAGCAAAAUGGGCGGAAGGAUGAUGGAGGAACGUCGGAUGGGGGAUGACGGCUAUCGGGUAGUAAAAAGCGUUCGACUGUGACGAAGCGUGAGUGACGGUAAUGGGUAAAGAAGCACCGGCUAACUACGU